UGAACGCUAGCUACAGGCUUAACACAUGCAAGUCGAGGGGCAGCGGGAUUGAAGCUUGCUUCAAUUGCCGGCGACCGGCGCACGGGUGAGUAACGCGUAUCCAACCUUCCGUACACUCAGGGAUAGCCUUUCGAAAGAAAGAUUAAUACCUGAUAGUAUCUUAAGCACACAUGUAAUUAAGAUUAAAGAUUUAUCGGUGUACGAUGGGGAUGCGUUCCAUUAGGUAGUAGGCGGGGUAACGGCCCACCUAGCCAACGAUGGAUAGGGGUUCUGAGAGGAAGGUCCCCCACAUUGGAACUGAGACACGGUCCAAACUCCUACGGGAGGCAGCAGUGAGGAAUAUUGGUCAAUGGACGAGAGUCUGAACCAGCCAAGUAGCGUGAAGGAUGAAGGUCCUACGGAUUGUAAACUUCUUUUAUAAGGGAAUAAACCCUCCCACGUGUGGGAGCUUGUAUGUACCUUAUGAAUAAGCAUCGGCUAACUCCGUGCCAGCAGCCGCGGUAAUACGGAGGAUGCGAGCGUUAUCCGGAUUUAUUGGGUUUAAAGGGAGCGCAGACGGGUCGUUAAGUCAGCUGUGAAAGUUUGGGGCUCAACCUUAAAAUUGCAGUUGAUACUGGCGUCCUUGAGUGCGGUUGAGGUGUGCGGAAUUCGUGGUGUAGCGGUGAAAUGCUUAGAUAUCACGAAGAACUCCGAUUGCGAAGGCAGCACACUAAUCCGUAACUGACGUUCAUGCUCGAAAGUGUGGGUAUCAAACAGGAUUAGAUACCCUGGUAGUCCACACGGUAAACGAUGGAUACUCGCUGUUGGCGAUAUACUGUCAGCGGCUUAGCGAAAGCGUUAAGUAUCCCACCUGGGGAGU
rnacentral:rRNA from 1 species